rnacentral:rRNA from 1 species
GGUCUACCUAACUAAAACCCCCACGCCUCUAUAUAGAGGAGGCAAGUCGUAACAUGGUAAGCGUACUGGAAAGUGCGCUUGGACGAAC